rnacentral:lncRNA from 1 species
AGGGUGGAUCCUUAAGAGUCCGUCGAUUUCCGCUGCUGUGCGUAGAUACAGAUGUAAUGGGCUCAGGGAGGCUGAUUCCCCGUUAACAGCACCUCGCUGAAGGAUGUGCCAUAGAAGUGUUUCUUGAGAUACCACCUCGUCAUGUAACCACCACUACCAAGUGCUUCUGGAGUCUGUGCUUUAACACCAGCAAAGAUUGAGAUGCUCAGCAUGCUCUGAAGUUGUUUCCUGUUAGGUAGUUUGGUGUGCUUAGAUCAUUUUACCAACCGCAGUAGACACCUGCUCUGUGAAAGUACACAAAGAUGCUCCCAGAGGUUUUGCUGAGAUGCCAAAGACAAGUCUUUUGUUGUCAGACUCAUUGGGGAAGAGUUACCCCAGCUGCCUCCCUGUGUUACGGGCUCUGUUUUACCAGCAGGCCCUAGUCACAUGCUUAGGGCAGCUGAACUGAGCAGAAAGUGAAAACCUUCCCCACUCUUCCCCACCCACUGUCUAACAGGCAUAUCACAAAACCAUUCAAACCUGCUUUUCUCAAACCUGCACUAUUUUUCCAUUUCAAGUCAGUGACGACUCUACUUUCUAGUUGGUCAGGCCCCAAACCAUGAAAUCAUUUUGAUUCCUUUUCCUAAAACCCACAUUCCAGCAGCAUUCUGCUGACCUCAAGAAGACAAAGUCCACCGAUGCAUAAGCGCCUCCAUCACUUACCACUACCUCCCAAGGCUAACCCAUCAUCUCACCUCAGCCCACAGCUGCAUGUCUCCCUUUGUCUUGCCUUCCACAUGCUAAGACAAUAGUGCUCAAAACCCUCCGAUGGCUUCGCCUCUCACCCCUAAAUCUGGCACCUCACUGAUCUUAUUCCUCUUUGGCCAUACCAGACCCCUUUGCUGUUCCCCAAAAGUGCAGCCCUUUAGUCUGGAUCAUGCUGUGCCACUUAGAUCUUUCUGGUCUCCGCUAGAAGAGGUCUUCCGUGAUCGCGUAAGGAGCACUGCCCACAUCCACCUCUUUAUAAAAUAGCGCCUGUCCCCUCUCCCUGCCGUAUUUUUCUUCUUAGUAUGCAUCACUACCAGAAAUAAGGAUUUACUUGUUUCUUGUUAGUAGCUUUUCACACCCAGCCCCUACCCCUAAAGAAAAUAUAAAUUCCAUGAAAGCAGGAACUUGGCUUUUGUUCCCUGCUGUGCCUCCCAUCUCCUUAGAAUAAUGGCUGGACAUUAUAUAAAUCUGGUGAAUGAAUACAGUGCUAUAAUCCU